UACGUAGGGGGCAAGCGUUGUCCGGAUUUAUUGGGCGUAAAGAGCGUGUAGGCGGCUAGGUAGGUCCGUUGUGAAAACUCGAGGCUCAACCUCGAGACGUCGAUGGAAACCAUCUAGCUAGAGUCCGGAAGAGGAGAGUGGAAUUCCUGGUGUAGCGGUGAAAUGCGCAGAUAUCAGGAAGAACACCCGUGGCGAAGGCGGGUCUCUGGGCCGAUAUUGACGCUGAGGAGCGAAAGCGUGGGGAGCAAACAGG
rnacentral:rRNA from 1 species